AGUAGGCUAGCUCAGCUAGGGUCGUCGCCAAGUUACUUACUACUAGUACAACUAAUUAACGGCGGGCCUGCAUCUAUCACCCGGUGUGCCGCACCGGCGCGGUAAACGGGCCAAGAACGUACGACAGACGAUGGCUUCCGGCGGCGGCCGUUCAGCAGCAGCGCUGAGCAGGAAGAAGAAGCCGACUAGGUUUGUUGCCUGCGUGAUGGCCCUGGUGGUUGUGCAGCUGCUGCUCCUGAUGAUGGCCACGCCCGCGGCUUCGCAGUGCUGCAGCGGAUGCUGGUGCCCGAUAACCCCGGAAUGCUGCACGCCGACGGCCAGGCCCUGAUGGCCAAGGGCACGUCUGAUCAUCGUCUCUCCGUCGUCCCGGACGCUUCUGUAAUUUCACAGUCACUCUGUGUGCGCGUACGUUCGUGUCUGCGUGUGCUUUUGAAUAAAUCCCAUCCUACGCCCUGAUCCCACGGGGCCGUUGUGUGCUUCCUGCUCCUAUCGUUGAAUUGAAGAAAAUGCAUGUCAUGUUACUGUCGUUCCUGGCUGUUCAAUGUUGAUGAAACCAACCAUGCAUGACGAGAUGGUCCUGCAUGAUUUAUUACUG